AUUGAACGCUGGCGGCAGGCCUAACACAUGCAAGUCGGACGGUAGCACAGAGGAGCUUGCUCCUCGGGUGACGAGUGGCGGACGGGUGAGUAAUGUCUGGGGAUCUGCCCGAUAGAGGGGGAUAACCACUGGAAACGGUGGCUAACACCGCAUAACGUCGCAAGACCAAAGAGGGGGACCUUCGGGCCUCUCACUAUCGGAUGAACCCAGAUGGGAUUAGCUAGUAGGCGGGGUAACGGCCCACCUAGGCGACGAUCCCUAGCUGGUCUGAGAGGAUGACCAGUCACACUGGGACUGAGACACGGCCCAGACUCCUACGGGAGGCAGCAGUGGGGAAUAUUGGACAAUGGGGGAAACCCUGAUCCAGCAAUGCCGCGUGGGUGAAGAAGGCCUUCGGGUUGUAAAGCCCUUUAGGCAGGGAAGAAGGUUUUAGGUUGAUAAGCCCUAGAAUUUGACGGUACCUGCAGAAUAAGCACCGGCUAACUCCGUGCCAGCCGCCGCUGUAA
rnacentral:rRNA from 1 species